AUGUCGUUUAUUCUUACGGAAAAUUUGAUUCCCAUCUCUUCUUAAUAGUCAGAGUGAUACUGGUUGCGGUGAAUAAGAACGGCGGCACAAGUCUUCGGAAAGUAUUGAAGAUCUUCGCCAAAAUAUCAAUCGCCAUGUUCCCGCAAAUUAAUGGAAGAAUGCAAUUUAUUUGAAGGACCUCGUGGAGCUCGUGAGAUAGAUGCAAGUUAAAGAAUAUUUCUUGAAUUGAAGUUAUAACAAUAUAUUUUUACGUAAAAACCAUACAAUACUGUGAGUUUCGUGUUUUAUUGUAUAUUGUUAAUUGUGCGGGAAGCAUUUGAAGUUGGGAUGUUUAUCAAAACUGUGAGGUCUUGGUGACCUCGGAAGUCCGGUUAGAUAUCUCCGAUUGAAGUAUAGUCAAUAAUGUUAGUAAGGUUGUCUUACUGGUGAGUGUAAAUGCUUUGAUUUUUAAUUUUUCUCGAACUAUCCGCAAAAACAAUAAUGAAUUAAGACAGGAAAAUGGAAAGGGAGAAAUUUAAGUAAAAAGUUUACUUUCGCUGUUUAUUUAUUGUCCAGCUCAUUAUUGAAAUACAUUAUUGAAGACUAUGUACUUGAUUAAAAAUAUUUAAGCUCGGACAAAAGUGUCAAUACGUUCUUUAUCUAUGCGUUUUCUUAACGAGUACCCAACAAAUUCCCAAGGGCAGAUAUUCUAGAUGAUAUAUAGUCUUUAGGAGAAAGUAUUGUAAAUUAUCAAGGGUACGUAUGUGUAUGUCAACAAUACGUAUUUAUAGUAAGUAUUUGUUUUAAUUUUUGCUUUGAUUCUUCUUUGACGUAUCUAAUGACAUCACUACAAACAACUCACUGAUUAGAGAUGUAUGCAGAUACCCGUUUAAAUCAAUAGAGUGUGUUGUAAAGUGGCUUAACACAUGAAAUGGAAUGAUAUAUUUGAUAUUUGAAACAUAAAAAUAUUAAGUAUUUAUUAUGGUUUGUUGAUGAGUAUAUUAUCACAAAAGAUAAAAAAGAUGAGAAAGAAUAAAGGAAAAGGAUAACGAUGUAAAUAAAACGAAAAAAAUCGAAUGCAAAGUAAAAAAGUAAUGGAAAAAAAAAUAGAGAAAAGAAACCAAUUAUGUAGUAAUAUAUAAAGAAUUAAGUUAUCUAAUAAUGUAUAUAAUGUUUGGAAACUGCCUCCCAGAAUUUUUUCGAAAUGGAGCUUUAAGAAGUUUGAAAAGAAUUGGAGAGAAACUUAAAAAUAUCAGCUUAAAAUAUAAUGAAAAAAUAAAAUUCAAAAACUACUAUCAAAUUUCAACUGUGGAAUAUUAGUAUAGCAGCAGGAUACUUUAGGAAGACAACAAAACGGAAACAUUUGAAAGAAACAAGAUAUGGAAAAGAAAUAAAGAAGUCAAAUGAAAUGAUUAUUAUUACAAAAAAGUACGUAAAUGAAGAGUAUUAAAUUAGUAGAAAUAAAUAACACACUAGAAGCCAUCGAAUAGCUGUAUCUUCUAUCGAAAUAGAUAACACGGAUGUUACAUAUAAGCUUCUAUACGAAAGUGAGCAUCUUGAGGAAAGUCAAGCCCAACAGCAACGAGUCAAACUUCAAUUUGCAAACAGUAACAUAGUAUUCCAAAAUCCGUAUAGUGAAAAAAAACAAAUAAAUUAUAUACCAAAUGUAUUAUAAGAAAUAAAAACAACUACUUGACCAAGUGCUAAA